GAUGAACGCUGGCGGCGUGCCUAAUACAUGCAAGUCGAGCGAACAGACGAGGAGCUUGCUCCUCUGACGUUAGCGGCGGACGGGUGAGUAACACGUGGAUAACCUACCUAUAAUACUGGGAUAACUUCGGGAAACCGGAGCUAAUACCGGAUAAUAUAUUGAACCGCAUGGUUCAAUAGUGAAAGACGGUUUUGCUGUCACUUAUAGAUGGAUCCGUGCCGCAUUAGUUAGUUGGUAAGGUAACGGCUUACCAAGGCGACGAUGCGUAGCUGACCUGAGAGGGUGAUCAGCCACACUGGAACUGAGACACGGUCCAGACUCCUACGGGAGGCAGCAGUAGGGAAUAUUCCGCAAUGGGCGAAAGCCUGACGGAGCAAUGCCGCGUGAGUGAUGAAGGUCUUCGGAUCGUAAAACUCUGUUAUUGGGGAAGAAAAAAUGUGUAAGUAACUAUGCACGUCUUGACGGUACCCAAUCAGAAAGCAACGGCUAACUACGUG
rnacentral:rRNA from 1 species